AAAUGUAGAGGGAAAGCAUACACUGAAAGUAACAAAGGCAGAAGGCUGGCCUGGAAGCUUGGACUCUCCCACACUGCCCUAAGUGAAUUGCCAGCAAGUCACAGAUGUGCCUCACAUAAACAGGUGAAAAUACGCUGGGGAAGGAUGAGCUGACAGUCGAUAUCUGUUACAUUUAUCCAAGCUGCGCUCUCAUGCAUCUAUUGGGGAUUUGGGUAUAUCUUCCCUAGUUGCUUUGAAAAGGUUUAGGCAGAUAAGCAAUGGCAAAUCUGCUGAAAGAGAGUAAGAGAAUGGCGUAGAGUUCACUCCUUCAAUAUUGCAUAUUGUAGCCCUUUGUAGAGCUGUGAGCUUUGAUGUGUUGCUUGCUGUGGAUUUUCAUUGGAUCACGAGGCUGCUCUGUUUAUACCCUCAGGGCCAUAUGGUGUCACUCUUUUCUGGUUCUGGAUGUGCCCUGAAUGUCCACACGACACCAGAGAAGUUAUCAGAGCGUUUUGCAGCAUGGAUACAUUUAGGGAAUCCUUGCAGGACCUUGUAUUGAUUGCAUUAGAAAACUUGUUUAAAGGAGAUCUAUUGGUCUAGCCACCCUCCUCCCACCCCUAAUCACUCUAGUGUCUUCAGGUCCUGAAAUCAGCACAGCACUUAACCACCGGCUCAACUUGGAGCACAUGCUUCACUCCCAUUAGUGUCAUUCAGGGGUUAAGCAUGUGCUUAGGUGUUUGCUGAGUGGGCGGCCUGCGGAAACACUCCCCAUUCCUUCCACUGUUGAUGGCAGACAGUAAAAAUAACGUCCUCUCUUGUCCUUGUGAGGAGGCCCAUCCUCCCGCUUGGCAUGCACCUGAAUCUUUUCUGUCUCCAGCAGAGAGGUGGGGCCAUUACCAGGGUGUUGGCUACUAAGGAAUGCUGCUGCUCUUGUCCCAGCAGAGGGCAGCAUCCUGUUAAAGGAGCCUUCUCCAGCCAGAGGACUGUGGGGGACCGUGCUUCAUCUGCAGGUUCUGGUGGUCAUCCACCAUGUAGCCUGACUUAGCAAUGCCAGGGGUAUCAAACGAAGAGCCAUAUUUCAUCUUUGAAGGGGGUUGACUCUGGAAAUGGAGAGGCAUUUGCUAAUCUGGAGAAACAGUUACAAACUGCUAGCUUGAGCCAGAACCCCAACUGUAAAAUAAAGCCACAUGCCAGGAGGGUGGCUCACAGAGCUCUUCAGAAGAGAGUUCACUCACAAAACUGUCCAUACCAAUGGCUUCUCUGAGGCCACUGCAGGAUACGCAGGGCACAAAGCCCACUGGAGUCACUGGGAAGACUCCCAUUGAUUUCAGUGGGCUUUGUGUCAGGCCUUCAAUUCUUAAUGGGACGCAGGCUGGGGGAUAGCUUGUUUUUGGCAAAUACCUAUGCAGGGAUGGUUUAAGUCUGGGACCCAUUUUACAAACAUAAUUUUUAUCAGUCUCUCUGCUGAAGCAUUCUAGGAGAUCACUUUGAAGUCUCCCUUUGUUUCCCCCAAUGAGUAACCAAUAUGGUCAGUCAUCCGGCAUCUAACCCGCGAGAUGACAGACAACAGCAGGAGCUGCCUCCAGGAAUGCAGUGUUUAUUUUGGAGCGACCUGGUACAAUUUUCAUUGCAGACGCACAGCAGGUGGAUUGUUUAUCGUUCAGGGGAAAGGUUGGAUGAGUCCAGCCCUCUCUCUCUAACAGCUUCACUCAUUUACAAAGCAACUUCAUAUGAGCUUAAUUCCCGUUUACCUUUGUAUGCAUUUCACAUGGGAUAAAUAAUGCUUCUUUCAGACGCCUGUCACAUUCACACUGCAAGAUCUGUGCUAUAGCAGAACCUGUAAAACAUACAUCAUCACUUCUUUCUACUCUUGAUCUGUGAACGAGACCAUCCCAGAAUAAGGUGCCGAUUGGCUCUGAGCUUGGCCAUAGACAGGCUAUUGAUUGUGUGCUGCGUGCCCUUUGCACAGACUCAGACACUGUCCAAACAAUGAACGUUUUGCUCUAAGUCUCAGCUCAGAGAGCACGUUUCUGAUCCACUUGUGAAGACCUUAGAUUUAACCCCCGUUUUUUGAAACAUAGCAGCUGGGGUUUGGAGCGUAUGGGCAACAGGCAGCAAAAUAUUACAUUUUGGUGGGAGCGGAGUACCUAGCCGCACCCUUGGUCUCCUUUGAAAGUCCCACCCUGCCUUUACAAAUGGCCCCUUUCCUCUUUAUGAUCCAAACUCCGGUCUCCUGUGGGAGGCUGUGGUCUUGCGGCUUGAGUACAAUUUGCUGUGUGACCCUGGGCAAGUCACAUCCUUUCUCUUGGACUCCCUGCCCUCCCUCUCUCAAUGGAAAUACGGAUAUCGACUGGCCUUUGUAAAGUGCUUGGAGAUCCUCAGAUGUAACAUGCGCUAGAACUGCCAGGCAAUGACCUCUAGUGACUCACCAUCUCAUCAUGAACCCAUGAACUCCCACAGAAGCCAGUGAGAUUUUUGCCAGGUGCCCGCCUAGCCCAUUCUUCCUGCACUCAUAGCAUUCAGGCUGGGAAUGGUUUCACUUAUGCACCCCCCGCCCCACACUUUGUCCUGGUCAAAGUUGCAGUUUGCACCUGCUUUGCAAAGGAGGAACAUAUGGCUUUUAAAAAGGCGGGGGGAGGGUCUAUGAUGGGGUGUCUGCCUUACACAGGGUUGAAAGGGAUUAAGGUGGUGAGGCAGGCAAACUAAGUUCAUCAGGUGCACCUGGAGGAGGAGCCAGGGAGUAGGCCAUUGAUUAGAAGUAGGCUCAGCUGAGCAAGAACAGGCAGGAGGCCAGUAUAAAGCCCAGGGCAGUGAGCAGCGAGGGGGCUUCAGGCUGCAGUUACUCCCUGAGUGGAGAGAGUUGGAGGCUGGCAAACCCAGAGAGGGGGCAAGUCAGAUAUGUAGAAGAAACCCAGGGGAACAGCUGCAAGGGCUGGUACUGUACACAGGUCUUGGCUGCUUGUUAUAGGGUCCCUGGGCUGUAACCCAGUGUGAAGGGUGGGCCCAGGUUCUCCUGUCAGCAAGUGGGAAGGCUGUUGUAGAUGCUAGCUACACAGCAGAUCUGGAAGGACUUUGAAUUCCCUGGAAGGGGUGGGCCAAGCCAUGAAGAGGAGUGAGAUAGGCCGCAGUGUUUGAUGACAUGGUGAAAGACACUGCCGGAGAGGGUUCUCAGUGCCUGGCAGCGCUAAUUCCCAGGAUGACCAGCAGGAGAUGCUGCUAGCGGAGACUGAUCGCAAGGAGUGAAUGGCUAGUGCACACAUUCCUCGACCCACUAUUCCUUGGGGAAAUGAGUGAAGGCCCUGAUGCAGCAAGGACCACGAAUGGUGCCAUGAGAGACCUCUCCCAGAUUCCACCCCCGCAGCAGCUUCGAUGACAUGUCAGGCAAUCUGCUUCCCUUCAACAUGCUGCCCUGAGUGUUAGUAACUGUGAUGAACAUACGUUCUCUGAAGGGACGGGUUCAAGUCAUUGCCCUGCGAGAUUUCCCUCCACCUCCCUACUUUCUAAGGAACUCUGAGCCAGAUUCUGAAGGAGUUUGAAGCACCUAAAGCUGCAGCUAGGUAGUUAGUGGCAUUGACAGAAGUGCCUAAGCAGGUUAGGUGCCUAACUCCCAUUGACUUCCCUGGCGUUCAGUCAGAAAGGCACCUGGGUUAACUCCUUUGGAGUUAUUAAUGAAGCUGGUCAGAACAUUUCUAUAGACAUGAAAUUUUGCAGGGGCAUUUGUGAAUUUUUCUGCCACAAAAGUGUGUUCUGCCAACUCUGUCUAUUCCUGCUGCUUAUAAUAAUGUCAUUGCACGAUCCCUGGAAUAGCUGUUGGACAAAUGGGUUCCGAUUGCUUAUAUUUAGUAAUCAUGCUGACUAUUUCAUUCCUGUUACAUUUGUAUGGGAAGCUCCUGCCGGGGCUGGAGCACUCCGUGCAGAGGCUGGCUCGUAGCUGGAGGCGGAGAGUCUUUCAGGGGUGGAGACUUGUGGGCGGUAAUGAGGGCUGGGUCAUUGAGGGAGAUGGGCUAAUUUAGCACCAUCCGAUCCAUGGCUACCUCUAACCGAGAGCCUAUGGCGCAUGCAAAGUGAACGUGGCCCUCACAGCCAAUAUCGAACCUCACCAUGCAGAGCUGAUUUACCUAGCAAGUGCUUAGAUGCUAAGGAACUGAGACCUGUGAGAAAGUCUGUCUGUCAAGGGUUAUCGGCUUCACAUUAUUAUCAUAGCCAGUAGGAUAAAAUAAUGUAAGGGAAUCUGGUUUUAAAGGCCAGAAGAGAUCAUUAUGAUUAUGUAGUCUGACUGCCCAUAUAACACAGGCCAAAGAACUUCCCCCACAUACUGCUGUUUAAGCAAAGCAUCUCCUAUACUUGGGAGCUGCGGUUGUUGCUUCUGCUGUCACUCACCGGGAAGACAGAAACCACUUUCUUUAACAUGCGGAUCUCCUAAAAGAAGAAAAACAACAAUGUUGGAGUUAGAUGCGACCAGUUCCCCCUUUGCUACCCCAUCUUCCCUGUUAAGCGUUGAUGAGUCGAGUUAGGAGCAGCACUGAAUCCGCUUUGCACCCGUGUGUGCGGCAGGAGAUAAGACCGACCACUAAAUGAUGGCAGGGUUGUUUUCAUGAUGGUCUGAUGCUGCGGGCAAUGGGGAAAGAAGAGUACCUGGAAGUGAGGGCUGUAGUGAUUGUCCGCAUUCACAACUUCCCUUUCUCUUCCUUCUCGGGACAAAAUCGUCACCACCUUUCUUCCCGUCAAGUGAGUGUGGAGCUGGGAGGCAAAGAUGCGGAUCCCAGCUGGGGGCAGAGCCUGGAAAAACAAUCCCAUAGGAAUAUCCAGGUUUAUAUGAGCCAAAUAAUGGUGAAUGACUAAAUCAACCAACAUCACUCCCUCUUUCCCAAAGAGCUCUCAUCAGUUCCCUUGAGGAACUGAGCGUGGCUUCAGUGGGAAGGGCAUGGCAGGCACUUAAAGGGACAGUGUCAAGUAAUUUUAAAUGGAGUUUUGUUUGUAUAAUCUCUUAGAAGCUUGAAAAUAAAUAUUUGUUUAGGGACCAGCAGUUCAGUCUGUCCAGCUCUGAUUUACUGCCCACCACUUUCUAAUGCGGCAGAAGCAGCCCUGGCGGGGCACUGUGAACUUCCUUAUGUUUGUUAGCGCACAGCACCAACUAUUGUUUUUGGGUAGGGGGCUGUUUCCCCUAACUUCUGCCUACCUCUCAGUCAGGUCUUUGACGGUGAUCUCUUGUGGCUCUUUAAAUGGGAGAAACAUAAACCCCUAUCGAUAAAUUGGCAGGUGAUUUGUAUAAUUGCAUGGUGCCCAUCUACCCAGUGUACAGAAUUCAUUUGGCUUGAAAAUGGAAGUUGUCUUAGGGAAAAAUUACACCUUUUAAGAGUUGAAACUCCAGUAAUAAGCUUUCUGAGACAGGGAAUGGUUCUUAGACCAGGGAGAUUGAGCAGAUGGCUGUCAAGAAGAAUUGACUUCGAAUGGGCUGUCGGCAUUUUCUGAACAUCUGGAGAACACUCCUUGGUCUUUGUUUUAAACAGUAUUUCUUAUAAUGGAACUCCACAGUGCUCACAGCAGAACAGGCUGAAAUGUGGGGUUCCUGUUGUACCCACAAGCAUUUUAUCAGGCAACGAACUGGAUGCUGAUAGCGCAGUGACUGUAAGGACGUGAGAUCAGCAAUACCACAUACACACAGCUGCUUCACCACGAGGGGCAAUGCUAUGCAAGGACACCUGUGGUACACCCUAUUGCCAUGGGAAUUUUGGUGUCAACCUAGCCAGCCCUCAGCUAUGGGCACAAGGACCCCUUCCCCCAUCACGUUACUGCUUGUCAGUCCCCUGCCAAUUAUAGAUUAAAGAAGAUGCAUGGACAUGUUUGGAGCCCUGUGGGCAUUUUUUGCUACACCACAGCUCGCAUCAUUU